rnacentral:rRNA from 1 species
UACGGAGGAUGCGAGCGUUAUCCGGAUUUAUUGGGUUUAAAGGGUGCGUAGGCGGGCUUUUAAGUCAGCGGUAAAAAUUCGGGGCUCAACCCCGUCCGGCCGUUGAAACUGGGGGCCUUGAGUGGGCGAGAAGAAGGCGGAUUGCGUGGUGUAGCGGUGAAAUGCAUAGAUAUCACGCAGAACCCCGAUUGCGAAGGCAGCCUUCCGGCGCCCUACUGACGCUGAGGCACGAAAGUGCGGGGAUCGAACAGG